AGAAUUAAACUGAAGAGUUUGAUCCUGGCUCAGAUUGAACGCUGGUGGCAUGCUUAACACAUGCAAGUCGAACGGUAACAGGUCUUCGGAUGCUGACGAGUGGCGGACGGGUGAGUAACGCGUAGGAAUCUGCCCAUCUGUGGGGGGAUACCAGUUGGAAACGACUGUUAAUACCGCAUAAUAUCUGCGGAUUAAAGGUGGCCUUUGUGCUGCCGCAGAUGGAUGAGCCUGCGUUGGAUUAGCUAGUUGGUAGGGUAAGGGCCUACCAAGGCUACGAUCCAUAGCUGAUUUGAGAGGAUGAUCAGCCACAUUGGGACUGAGACACGGCCCAAACUCCUACGGGAGGCAGCAGUGGGGAAUAUUGGACAAUGGGGGAAACCCUGAUCCAGCAAUGCCAUGUGUGUGAAGAAGGCUCUAGGGUUGUAAAGCACUUUAGUUGGGGAGGAAAGCCUAUAAGUUAAUAGCUUGUAGGAAGGACGUUACCCAAAGAAUAAGGACCGGCUAACUCCGUGCCAGCAGCCGCGGUAAUACGGGGGGUCCGAGCGUUAAUCGGAAUUACUGGGCGUAAAGGGUCUGUAGGUGGUUUGUUAAGUCAGAUGUGAAAGCCCAGGGCUCAACCUUGGAACUGCAUUUGAUACUGGCAAACUAGAGUAUGGUAGAGGAAUGGGGAAUUUCUGGUGUAGCGGUGAAAUGCGUAGAGAUCAGAAGGAACACCAAUGGCGAAGGCAACAUUCUGGAUCAAUACUGACACUGAGGGACGAAAGCGUGGGGAUCAAACAGGAUUAGAUACCCUGGUAGUCCACGCUGUAAACGAUGAGUACUAGCUGUUGGAUUCGGUGUAAAGGAUCUAGUGGCGCAGCUAACGCGUUAAGUACUCCGCCUGGGGACUACGGCCGCAAGGCUAAAACUCAAAGGAAUUGACGGGGACCCGCACAAGCGGUGGAGCAUGUGGUUUAAUUCGAUGCAACGCGAAGAACCUUACCUGGUCUUGACAUCCUGCGAACUUUCUAGAGAUAGAUUGGUGCCUUCGGGAACGCAGUGACAGGUGCUGCACGGCUGUCGUCAGCUCGUGUUGUGAAAUGUUGGGUUAAGUCCCGCAACGAGCGCAACCCCCUAUUGAUAGUUACCAUCAUUAAGUUGGGUACUCUAUUGAGACUGCCGCUGACAAGGCGGAGGAAGGUGGGGACGACGUCAAGUCAUCAUGGCCCUUACGACCAGGGCUACACACGUGCUACAAUGGGUAUUACAGAGGGCUGCGAAGGUGCGAGCUGGAGCGAAACUCAGAAAGGUACUCUUAGUCCGGAUUGCAGUCUGCAACUCGACUGCAUGAAGUCGGAAUCGCUAGUAAUCGCAGGUCAGAAUACUGCGGUGAAUACGUUCCCGGGUCUUGUACACACCGCCCGUCACACCAUGGGAGUGGGUUGCUCCAGAAGUAGAUAGUUUAACGAAUGGGCGUUUACCACGGAGUGAUUCAUGACUGGGGUGAAGUCGUAACAAGGUAGCCGUAGGGGGAACCUGCGGCUGGAUCACCUCCUUAACGGAAAU
rnacentral:rRNA from 1 species